rnacentral:tRNA from 2 species
AUGCGGGGUGGAUUCCCGCUACCCCCCCUAGAUUUUUUUUUAUAUAUUCUAUACAUUUAUUAA